rnacentral:sRNA from 1 species
UUUGCAACGAAGACGGUUGCCCCGCGAAGGAUUCUUCUGGACUUUCCUCUCCCUGGCAAUUGGCUCACUUCCUAUCCCUAUCUGUGCCCCAGAAUCCACCGGACAGCCGAACUAUAGUUGAUCGAUUACUAAUAUCUAAUUCUUCUUGCGACUUUGCGUGCAGGUCAAAUUCAAGUUGAUAUUGGAGAGAUGCAUUUACCAUGAUCAGAACCAUCAGCCAGAUCUUACAUUAUCCAAUGUGGCAGCGCACCGAAUUCCUCACCAGAUCUUCAGCCUGGUAGCCCCAAAGCAUCGUGGCAGUGGGGAUCUGUGUAGAGGGCCUCACUGGGGUUACUAGUACUCAACUGCUGAGACGGGAUCUUGUGCACGGCGGACAUUGACUGACAGCUUCCAAGAUGUCCAUACCCAGGCUAAUAUUUUGCAUUCGGUGGCAGACUCUUUUUCUUCAACUUCUUCUUAUAAAGCCUGUCAGUUUCUUCUGGAUCAGGGAAAGGAAGCUGUCUAUGAAGACAGGCAAGUAGUAGCAGUCCAAGGCUUUCAACAACUUCAGCUUCCACAUCCAUUCUUUUUUGAUGUAUGUAUCAUUGUGAUAAAUAACUACAAAAUCAAAAAUCAACUCAGAUAACUCUCCUCUUGAUAUCCAGGAACAAUUGAGGUUAUUCUUUGGGCAAAAUUUAUUAUGUUCAAUCAAACCUGAAUGAAUUUGCCUCGUGCAAGUUUUCAGCAUACAUUCGGCAG